UUAAGCAUAUCAAUAAGCGGAGGAAAAGAAACCAACAGGGAUUACCUCAGUAACGGCGAGUGAAGCGGUAACAGCUCAAAUUUGAAAGCUGCCAACAGGCCGCGUUGUAAUUUGUAGAAGAUGCUUUGGGGGUAGGCCUAGUCUAAGUUCCUUGGAACAGGACGUCAUAGAGGGUGAGAAUCCCGUAUGUGAUUAGUGCCUGCUCCCGUGUAAAGCUCUUUCGACGAGUCGAGUUGUUUGGGAAUGCAGCUCAAAAUGGGUGGUAUAUUUCAUCUAAAGCUAAAUAUUGGCCAGAGACCGAUAGCGCACAAGUAGAGUGAUCGAAAGAUGAAAAGCACUUUGGAAAGAGAGUUAAACAGUACGUGAAAUUGUUGAAAGGGAAGCGCUUGCAACCAGACUUGCAGGCGGUCGAUCAUCCGAGGUUCUCCCCGGUGCACUCGAUCGUCUUCAGGCCAGCAUCGGUUUUGGUGGCGGGAUAAAGGCUCUAGGAAUGUGGCUCUUCGGAGUGUUAUAGCCUAGGGUGCAAUGCCGCCUACCGGGACCGAGGACCGCGCUUCGGCUAGGAUGCUGGCGUAAUGGU
rnacentral:rRNA from 1 species